AUGUCCUGUCAAAGGUGGUGCUCUCAAGCCAACAGAUGUUGACCAACUGUGGGUUCAUGUUACAUGCGCCUGGUUUCAACCUAAAGUCUCUUUUCUAGUUGAUGCGAUAAUGGAGCCAGCAAUGGGCAUACUGAGCAUCCCUGUAGAGUACUUUAAGAAGACAUGCGUUAUAUGCAAGCAGAUGCAUGGUGCCUGCACCCAGUGCUGGAAAUGCUCUACUUAUUACCAUGCAAUGUGUGCAUCAAGAGCGGGAUAUCGCAUGGAGGUAGACUGCUUCUGUCACAUUUUGUGAUGGACAUUUAUGAUGACAAUUUUGUUUGUUUAUCCAUUUUUAUAAUUAAUUCAGCCUGUGCAAAUCUUAUUAAA